rnacentral:rRNA from 1 species
GACGAACGCUGGCGGCGUGCCUAACACAUGCAAGUCGAACGAGGUCCAUCCUUCGGGAGAAGACCUAGUGGCGAACGGGUGAGUAACACGUGAGGAACCUGCCCCGGAGACCGGGAUAACCACUCGAAAGAGUGGCUAAUACCGGAUGUCCCCAUCCUGCCGCAUGGCGGGAUGAGGAAAUGGAUUCCGCUCCGGGAGGGCCUCGCGGCCUAUCAGCUAGUUGGUGAGGUAACGGCUCACCAAGGCAUCGACGGGUAGCUGGUCUGAGAGGACGAUCAGCCACACUGGGACUGAGACACGGCCCAGACUCCUACGGGAGGCAGCAGUGGGGAAUCUUCCACAAUGGACGAAAGUCUGAUGGAGCAACGCCGCGUGAGCGAUGAAGGAUUUCGGUCUGUAAAACUCUGUUGUUCAUGACGAACGUUUCCUGGGUGAAUAAUCCAGGGAGUGACGGUAGUGUACGAGGAAGCCACGGCUAACUACGUGCCAGCAGCCG